rnacentral:rRNA from 1 species
UACGUAGGGGGCAAGCGUUGUCCGGAUUUAUUGGGCGUAAAGAGCGUGUAGGCGGCUAUACAGGUCCGCUGUGAAAACUCGAGGCUCAACCUCGAGACGUCGGUGGAAACCGUAUGGCUAGAGUCCGGAAGAGGAGAAUGGAAUUCCUGGUGUAGCGGUGAAAUGCGCAGAUAUCAGGAAGAACACCCGUGGCGAAAGCGGCUCUCUGGGACGGUACUGACGCUGAGACGCGAAAGCGUGGGGAGCGAACAGG